AGAGUUUGAUCAUGGCUCAGAUUGAACGCUGGCGGCAUGCCUUACACAUGCAAGUCGAACGGCAGCACGGGGGCAACCCUGGUGGCGAGUGGCGAACGGGUGAGUAAUACAUCGGAACGUGUCCUGUAGUGGGGGAUAGCCCGGCGAAAGCCGGAUUAAUACCGCAUACGAUCUGUGGAUGAAAGCGGGGGAUCUUCGGACCUCGCGCUACAGGGGCGGCCGAUGGCAGAUUAGCUAGUUGGUGGGGUAAAGGCCUACCAAGGCGACGAUCUGUAGCUGGUCUGAGAGGACGACCAGCCACACUGGGACUGAGACACGGCCCAGACUCCUACGGGAGGCAGCAGUGGGGAAUUUUGGACAAUGGGCGAAAGCCUGAUCCAGCAAUGCCGCGUGUGUGAAGAAGGCCUUCGGGUUGUAAAGCACUUUUGUCCGGAAAGAAAACCUCGUGGUUAAUACCCGUGGGGGAUGACGGUACCGGAAGAAUAAGCACCGGCUAACUACGUGCCAGCAGCCGCGGUAAUACGUAGGGUGCAAGCGUUAAUCGGAAUUACUGGGCGUAAAGCGUGCGCAGGCGGUUCGCUAAGACAGAUGUGAAAUCCCCGGGCUUAACCUGGGAACUGCAUUUGUGACUGGCGGGCUAGAGUAUGGCAGAGGGGGGUAGAAUUCCACGUGUAGCAGUGAAAUGCGUAGAGAUGUGGAGGAAUACCGAUGGCGAAGGCAGCCCCCUGGGCCAAUACUGACGCUCAUGCACGAAAGCGUGGGGAGCAAACAGGAUUAGAUACCCUAGUAGUCC
rnacentral:rRNA from 1 species